AAGUUUAACCCUUUUUAUUCUUAGGAAUAUUUUUUGAAAAUCUCAGGAGUCUUGGAAGCUGGCUUUCAGACAGGGUGAUUGGCAGAGUUUUAAAGGGUUUACGGAUACAUUGAACCAUGUAAGAGAUUUUCAGUCUUAGGCAAAGGAUAUGACAAAUAUAGAAAACCCAAGAAAGAAACAUAAGCAGACUUUGGAUAGUUCCUAGACAUUCACUUAGCCAAGAAAAGGGAAAUGAAACAGGUCUUCUAUAUCGAUAGGCAUUCAUCAACAAAUUUUAAAGCUUUAGUUAGGAAGUGUGUCAGUCUUGAGUAGUGCCUGCCUCAGUAGAUAACCACCUUCUAAUCCCAAUAUCUUCUUGAAACAGCCAAGAUAAUGUGGGAUAAUAUCCCUAGGUGUACACUUCAAUUAAGAAAUGAAAAGCCAUACUUCCAGCCCAUCAAGAAAGAGGGAAAUGUGGAGGUCGGCAACAUGUGAGAUCUACAACAUAUGACAGGAAGAAUAAAAAGCUUAAAAGCCUGCUUAGGAUAACUCUUAUAGCCUUAUCUUAUAUGCUCUGUAUUUGCUAAUACAAUUUAGCAUCAUUUAGUAAGUGAUUUAUUCUAGUUGGUAAAAUAAUGAGAAAGAAUUGGAUCACUGCCUCUACAAAGAAUUUCUCUGAGUUUAGACAGGCGAUUGAACUCGUAAUUGCCAAAAUAUAUUCCCUGGUUAAGUCACCACAGAACGGCUAACUUUACGCUUGAGUUAUUAAUAAUGUUUAAAAAGAACACAGAGCGUAUAUUUUAUGCUCUAAUUGAAAAAUACAGAAAAGAAGGUAGACUUAUCUUUAUAGAAAGUUUAUGUGAUCGAGCUAAAACACAUUAAGUAGCAAAGAUCCUAAAACAAUGUUUUGCCUUUUUUUUCUUCCUUUUUAACUUGUUCCCAUUUGUUUCAAUGAAAUGAUGGGGAAGCCUCAAUGGCACUUUUGGUUUCUGCAAGAAGUGUGACAUAUCAAAACCAAAAUGUUUACAAUGUGAAAUGAGUAUGCAGCUCUCAGCCCCAUUAGUUCUGAGGACUGAUUCCUCAAUUGAUCAUGCUUUCAUUAGUCUUCAGAAUCC
rnacentral:lncRNA from 1 species